AAUUUUUUCAUUCUGUUCUCUGCCUCCAUUUCGUGGAACUGUGAAGCUCUUCACCAGAUCAAACUGACCAACCACCGUCUCUCUCUCUCCGGCGCCGGACUGGUCUCACCUCGACCGCAGACGGUCAACAUCUUCAGCCAUAUAAGCUUUUAGAGACAGAUAGCCUCAGGUUGCUGAACUGAAAAGAGUUGUUAGCAGAAAUGAAUCACAAAUUUGGGGGAGGAAAGCGACCAACGGGAACUCCUUCGCUGGCAAUGUCGUCUGUGGUCGUUGUUGUUUCUCUUCUUGCUGGGGCCUCUGUUGUCCACAACAUCUACAAGCCUGAUCUUACACUUCCUCCCGUGGAAGCUAUUACCGAAACGAAACCAAAUCAAUCCAAUACAAAAUGAAACCUACACGUAUGCAUAUCUUCCAUCGUUUUUACAAACUUAAAUUGUUGAUUCUUGAGAUUUUGACCCUCUUGUUGUAUGACUUGUGCAUUGAUCUGUUUUGCAGUAUUUUAAUUUGUGAGUGUCAGUUCAACAAUAAUUUAUAAAUAAAUAUUGAUUUUUCCUUUUUAUAAACAA